rnacentral:rRNA from 1 species
UACGAAGGGGGCUAGCGUUGUUCGGAAUUACUGGGCGUAAAGCGCACGUAGGCGGGUUGUUAAGUCAGGGGUGAAAUCCUGGAGCUCAACUCCAGAACUGCCUUUGAUACUGGCAACCUAGAGACUGGAAGAGGUUAGUGGAAUUCCCAGUGUAGAGGUGAAAUUCGUAGAUAUUGGGAAGAACACCAGUGGCGAAGGCGGCUAACUGGUCCGGUACUGACGCUGAGGUGCGAAAGCGUGGGGAGCAAACAGG